GAUGAACGCUGGCGGCGUGCCUAAUACAUGCAAGUCGAGCGCACAGAUGAGGAGCUUGCUCCUCUGACGUUAGCGGCGGACGGGUGAGUAACACGUGGAUAACCUACCUAUCAGACUGGGAUAACUUCGGGACACCGGAGCUAAUACCGGAUAAUAUCUUGAACCGCAUGGUUCAAUAGUGAAAGACGGUUUUGCUGUCACUUAUCGAUGGAUCCGCGCCGCAUUAGCUAGUUGGUAAGGUAACGGCUUACCAAGGCAACGAUGCGUAGCCGACCUGAGAGGGUGAUCGGCCACACUGGAACUGAGACACGGUCCAGACUCCUACGGGAGGCAGCAGAAGGGAAUCUUCCGCAAUGGGCGAAAGCCUGACGGAGCAACGCCGCGUGAGUGAUGAAGGUCUUCGGAUCGUAAAACUCUGUUAUUAGGGAAGAACAAAUGUGUAAGUAACUAUGCACGUCUUGACGGUACCUAAUCAGAAAGCCACGGCUAACUACGUG
rnacentral:rRNA from 1 species